rnacentral:tRNA from 1 species
AGGGGCUUAGGAUAGUAUUGAGACCAAGAGCCUUCAAAGCUCUAAGCGAGGGUGAAAAUCCCCCAGCCCCUG